GAUUAAAUGGCUGAAUAUUAGGCGAUAAAUUGUAAAUUUAUUUAUGGGAGUUACUCUCUUUAAUCA
rnacentral:tRNA from 1 species